GAUGAACGCUGGCGGCGUGCCUAAUACAUGCAAGUCGAGCGAACAGACGAGGAGCUUGCUCCUCUGACGUUAGCGGCGGACGGGUGAGUAACACGUGGAUAACCUACCUAUAAGACUGGGAUAACUUCGGGAAACCGGAGCUAAUACCGGAUAAUAUAUUGAACCGCAUGGUUCAAUAGUGAAAGACGGUUUUGCUGUCACUUAUAGAUGGAUCCGCGCCGCAUUAGCUAGUUGGUAAGGUAACGGCUUACCACGGCGACGAUGCGUAGCCGACCUGAGAGGGUGAGCGGCCACACUGGAACUGAGACACGGUCCAGACGCCUACGGGAGGCAGCAGUAGGGAAUCUGCCGCAAUGGGCGAAAGCCUGACGGAGCAACGCCGCGUGAGUGAUGAAGGUCUUCGGAUCGUAAAACUCUGUUAUUAGGGAAGAACAAAUGUGUAAGUAACUAUGCACGUCUUGACGGUACCUAAUCAGAAAGCCACGGCUAACUACGUG
rnacentral:rRNA from 1 species